UACAGUACUGUGAUGGUGUACGUAGUAUUAUCGCUCGAGUGAGGUCCGUAUAUUAUCUCGAAAUUGUAGUCUGUCUUUUAAUUGCUUGUUGUGAAUAAGGAGACCAAUAAAGAAGGGGAAAUAUGUAUGUAAAAAAAUAUGCAAAAUAUUUAUUUAUGGUUCAUCACUAGGAAAACGCAAGUACUGAAAUCAUUCGAAGUCUUGGUGCGGACCACGGAUACUUACUAUCUGUUGGUAGCAGUCGGCGUGAAAGAUCGUUAUCAUAACUCAGUCAAGCAGUCUCGUAUAUUGAAGAAUGGUAUUGUACUAAUUAAGGAACCCUUUAUUAAGAGAAGCUGCGAAAAAACAGCAUUAUGAGAACUCGUCAAAUCUAAAAGAACUGAAACCGGAUAUUAGUCAUCUGCAGACUGAAUCAAACAAAGUGGGAAGCUUCCACAGUUCAAUGGAGCGAGUGGUAUAUAACAGAAGAAAAUCUGAUGUGGCCAUGGAAGAUGUAGUUCAGAGGUCGUCGGCUAUCAAAGUCAAGUGACAUCAUGAGGCUAUUGCUGACUUAUUUGAUAGUCCAUAUUCAUGGAUGGUACUUUUGUCUAAAGAACAUCUCAAUGAACAUGACUUAUGCAAGGCUCUGAUGCAGUUCUGUAUGCCUUCUAAUUGUGAUGAUGUCAUCUUCAGCUUGAUCAACAUCCUACUUCGUGUCCAAUGCCUCGAAGAGAGAAAUUUCCAUGAAAAAACAUGGCCCAGUUCAUAAUUUGGCAGGGCUUCAAUUUUAUGCAGACGUACGUUCACAACUUAAACCAAGUCAAAAAGUAUACAAGAAGCAAAGGCUUGGCAGGCUUGGCAAAGAAGACCAAACACUAAAGCAGAGAUGUGCACCUGCUGCUGGGCAAAUGCCAAAUACAACAGUUAACUCAGCUAUUGGAGUGGCAGCAGACUGACAAAAAAGCAUCACUACAAGAGGAGUUACAAUAUAGAUGCGAGUCUCCAGCCAUGAAGACUAUCAGAGUGGUAGCAGACUAACAAAAAAGCAUCGCUAAAAGAGGAGGUACAAUAGAUGUGAGUCUCCAGCCACGAAGUACAGCAAUCAAACAGCUUGUACUGGGGGUAGCCAGCAAUGAGAAAGUAAUUCAGCUACCUGAUACAAUAGGUUUCAAGCAAGACAACCAGAUGAGCAGGUAGGAUAAACCCUGGGCAAAAGUACAUAACUAAAAAACUAAGGAGCAUUAAACUCAAUAACACCAAAAAUCCAGCCGACGAUUAGAAAAAAAGAUUCUGAUGUAUAUGAAAUGAUGCCUCAAGAGUAGAUGACUCUCCCUUCCAUCAGCAGACCGGUCUCGGGAAACGUCAGAGGUAAGACUGGUCCUGACACACUUGACAAAGAUGAAAGGCCACUGUCUCCACGAGUCCAUGAAAAUACAGAUGACCAUACCUGACAAAUUCGAUUACGAGGCACAACACAAGCAGCAGCACUAAUACGUAAAGAGUAGGAAUUCAAACAUAGAUAUACCAUAAUCCAAAAAUGAAACCUAAGUAUGUACUACUCGGCACACACUUAACUGUUAAGAUUUAUUUAAACUUACGUAACACAAACUACAAAACAGCUUGUGCUGUAGUUAAAAAUACACAAAGGCAAGGCUAAGCAAAAGAGGAAAAGCAUUAAUAAAAUAAAUAAAUAAAACUACCUUACCUGGAU